GGGGAUGUAAAGGUUUCGACGGGGGUUGUGAACCCUGGUAAGCGAGCAGCGGGGCGGGACCGCUUCAUCAAUCCGCACCUUAAAUUUAGAUGAGAAAUCCUCUAAGAAAAACAGCAAUGUCAUGAACGUUAACUUCAAUAACAAUUAUGGGAUGGCUGUUGCAGCUUAAUUAAAAAGCUGCCGUCCUCUCCGGGAGUACCGCGGCCCGGCUGAGGGCGUAACUCAGCGGUGAACGUGAAUCGAAUGAUGCCCCUCAUUCGGUCAUGACUUAGGGGCUGCCGCUGCACAGAGCCUGCCGGUUGGCGCUGUGCAGCGGGAGAUUAAAACAACCGGCUGCGCUCGAAGAAAUCCAGGGCAAGUGACUUUCGGACAGGGGUCCGACUCCCCUCAUCUCCACCA
rnacentral:tmRNA from 2 species